UACGGAGGAUGCGAGCGUUAUCCGGAUUUAUUGGGUUUAAAGGGUGCGUAGGCGGACGCUUAAGUCAGCGGUAAAAUUGCGGGGCUCAACCUCGUCGAGCCGUUGAAACUGGGUGUCUUGAGUGGAUGAGAAGUACGCGGAAUGCGUGGUGUAGCGGUGAAAUGCAUAGAUAUCACGCAGAGCUCCGAUUGCGAAGGCAGCGUACCGGCAUCCAACUGACGCUGAGGCACGAAAGCGUGGGGAUCAAACAGG
rnacentral:rRNA from 1 species